UGAGGGAGAUGAGGUUCAUCACACAGCGAGAUGAGGUUUCUUUGGCCUCGGCCUUCAUUUCCCCAAACGCAUCUUUUAAAGUAACUAAAGUCUUCUGACCCUGUGUUCCACUGUCCCGCGCAUCGUUCAUCGUUCAUCGUUCCUUUAGGAUCUCGCAGCUCGGAUCCACCGAGCGAGUCGGAGGUUGGAGAACAAUCACCCGCGACUGCAGAGCGUCGAGCUGAUCCACCAGGCCCACGCUGCCCUCUCUCCGCCCGGCGACAACUGACAAAUUGCUCCAAUUAUGCUUUUGAUGACGGCGAAGUAAAAUGGAAAAAGCACGGUGGGUCUAACGCGGGUCAAUGUGACAUGCUGACGUCCGUUUCCUCGGCAGCAGCCCGACACUCAGCCCCCGCAAUCGGUGACUGACAGGAAACACAGGGACGCUGACGUGAGGUGACCUGAACCUGAUGGGACGGUACCAGCUGUCAUUCACACUGUAUCCACGCCCCCAACACAUCCGGUGCUUUAUGGUCUAUGUGCCUGUCAAUGGACCAUAAUGUAUAUAAUGAACAUCAAGUGUUGAAGAAG